UACGGAGGAUCCAAGCGUUAUCCGGAAUCAUUGGGUUUAAAGGGUCCGUAGGCGGUUUGGUAAGUCAGUGGUGAAAGCCCAUCGCUUAACGAUGGAACGGCCAUUGAUACUGCCAGACUUGAAUUAUCGGGAAGUAACUAGAAUAUGUAGUGUAGCGGUGAAAUGCUUAGAUAUUACAUGGAAUACCAAUUGCGAAGGCAGGUUACUACCGGUUUAUUGACGCUGAUGGACGAAAGCGUGGGGAGCGAACAGG
rnacentral:rRNA from 1 species